CCUUGCGGGUCCUAUACUGCAGUCGAGCGAACGGACGAGAAGCUUGCUUCUCUGAUGUUAGCGGCGGACGGGUGAGUAACACGUGGAUAACCUACCUAUAAGACUGGGAUAACUUCGGGAAACCGGAGCUAAUACCGGAUAAUAUUUUGAACCGCAUGGUUCAAAAGUGAAAGACGGUCUUGCUGUCACUUAUAGAUGGAUCCGCGCUGCAUUAGCUAGUUGGUAAGGUAACGGCUUACCAAGGCAACGAUGCAUAGCCGACCUGAGAGGGUGAUCGGCCACACUGGAACUGAGACACGGUCCAGACUCCUACGGGAGGCAGCAGUAGGGAAUCUUCCGCAAUGGGCGAAAGCCUGACGGAGCAACGCCGCGUGAGUGAUGAAGGUCUUCGGAUCGUAAAACUCUGUUAUUAGGGAAGAACAUAUGUGUAAGUAACUGUGCACAUCUUGACGGUACCUAAUCAGAAAGCCACGGCUAACUACGUGCCAGCAGCCGCGGUAAUACGUAGGUGGCAAGCGUUAUCCGGAAUUAUUGGGCGUAAAGCGCGCGUAGGCGGUUUUUUAAGUCUGAUGUGAAAGCCCACGGCUCAACCGUGGAGGGUCAUUGGAAACUGGAAAACUUGAGUGCAGAAGAGGAAAGUGGAAUUCCAUGUGUAGCGGUGAAAUGCGCAGAGAUAUGGAGGAACACCAGUGGCGAAGGCGACUUUCUGGUCUGUAACUGACGCUGAUGUGCGAAAGCGUGGGGAUCAAACAGGAUUAGAUACCCUGGUAGUCCACGCCGUAAACGAUGAGUGCUAAGUGUUAGGGGGUUUCCGCCCCUUAGUGCUGCAGCUAACGCAUUAAGCACUCCGCCUGGGGAGUACGACCGCAAGGUUGAAACUCAAAGGAAUUGACGGGACCCGCACAAGCGGUGGAGCAUGUGGUUUAAUUCGAAGCAACGCGAAGAACCCUUACCAAAUCUUGACAUCCUUUGAACACUCUAGAGAUAGAGCCUUCCCCUUCGGGGGACAAAGUGACAGUGUGCAUGGUUGUCGUCAGCUCGUGUCGUGAGAUGUUGGUUAAGUCCCGCACGAGCGCACCUAGCUUAGUGCAUCAUAGUGGCACUCUAGUGACUGCGUGACGACGAGAAGUGGGAUGACGUCAUCAUCAUGCCCUUAUGGAUUUGGACAUAACACACCGUGUGCUGU
rnacentral:rRNA from 1 species